AUGAAUCUUCUGGCCUGGAACUGUCGAGAACUGGGGUUGGACUCGAUAGUGGGCGAACUCAGGGAUCUGAUACGGUCCUACAACCCAGCGGUGGUAUUCUUAUGUGAAACAAAGAAGAAAGCAAGGGCGAUGGUGAGAUUGAAAUGGAGUCUAGGGUUCAGAUGUGGCAUGGCAAUAGAUUGUCAAGGAAGGAGUGGAGGUCUAGCUUUGUGGUGGAGGGAGAGUGUGCAGGUUAAUUUGCGGCCAUGGAGCCAAUAUUUUGUUGAUGCAGCAAUAACUUGGGAAGGUAAAACCUGUAGAUUCACUGGAUUCUAUGGGGAGCCAAGAACGGAGCUACGUAAGAAAUGGUGGGACGCAAUUCGAUAUUUGAGAGCUCAAGACAAUCUCCCAUGGAUUUUUGCAGGAGACUUCAAUGAGGCUAUGUUCCAGACUGACCAACUUGGGGGAAACAAUAGGAGUUUCGCGCAAAUGGAAGACUUCAGAGAUUGCUUGGCCGACUGCGGUCUAGUGGAUCUUGGUUUUUGGGAUAUCCUUACACGUGGGAUAAUAAACGAGAUGGAGCUGAAAACGUUCAAGUCAGGCUGGACAGAGCAACAUGUAAUGAGAGUUUUGUUGAUCUCUUCCCUGAGACGACGGUUGAGCAUGUGA
rnacentral:rRNA from 1 species